UACGUAGGGCGCGAGCGUUGUCCGGAAUUAUUGGGCGUAAAGAGCUCGUAGGCGGCCUGUUGCGUCCGCUGUGAAAUCCCAGGGCUCAACCCUGGGCGUGCAGUGGAUACGGGCAGGCUGGAGGCAGGCAGGGGAGAACGGAAUUCCCGUGGUGAUAGCGGUGAAAUGCGCAGAUAUCAGGAGGAACACCGAUGGCGAAGGCAGGUCUCUGGGCCACUACUGACGCUGAGAAGCGAAAGCAUGGGGAGCGAACAGG
rnacentral:rRNA from 1 species